rnacentral:rRNA from 1 species
GCCUCUUGCCAUCAGAUGUGCCCAGAUGGGAUUAGCUAGUAGGUGGGGUAAUGGCUCACCUAGGCGACGAUCCCUAGCUGGUCUGAGAGGAUGACCAGCCACACUGGAACUGAGACACGGUCCAGACUCCUACGGGAGGCAGCAGUGGGGAAUAUUGCACAAUGGGCGCAAGCCUGAUGCAGCCAUGCCGCGUGUGUGAAGAAGGCCUUCGGGUU